rnacentral:rRNA from 1 species
AUUAAGCCUGAAAUCAGGUGGGAUUACCCGCUGAACUUAA